UCUUUCCUCUGCACUUCCACAUAGCCUUUACUUGUUUUUUUGUUUGUUUGUUUUCCCCUCCCUUUUCCUCUUUCCCUUUUUUCUCUUUAGUUAAAUCGUUUAAUUAAUAAUAAUCUUUCCGUAAUAAUUAUUUUUUCCUUUUAAUUAAAUCAUCCUUAUUUCAACCCAUGAGUUGUUCUUUCCUUUACUUCUUCCCCUCCUCUUCUAAGGAGGGGGAGUGAGAGAGCGGUUGUGGUGUUCAGCUGCCUAGCACGGUAAAACCACCACAAGCUGAAGUGUUCACUUGGCAGUGCUGCUGCUGCUGUGGCUAGGGCACGUUCCUGAAGAGGCAGACCUCUUCCCAGGAUCGACUAUUUUGCUGUUACAGCCAGCACAUGUCGGCUUUACCCACCUACCUAAUUACCUUGGUUACAAACAGGAAGAAACAUGCUACCCAGCAGUGCAGGUGUUCCAGCAAAAUAAAAGCUUUGCCGUAGUAUGUUUUAUUUCCAUUUUACAUUGAAAUACAUGUAUUUCAGUAUGUUUGUGCAUAUAUGUAGAUACAUGCAUGUAGAUAUAAAAACAUUUAGAAUACAAAUACAUGUAUUUCCUUUUGAGCCUGUUUGAUUAAAUUACCCAAAAGUUCCCUGUACAAUUUUAUGGGUGUUAAGAUGCUAAAUUCCUUUAAGGAUCCUUUGCAAUUUAUGCUGAGGAUAAGAAUGAAAUAACCCAGUGAAGAAAGCAGAUGCAUUAUGAAAACCGAGUUCCCAUAAAUGUGGAAAGGGAUUUUUAGUAUUACUAUGAAAAUUGGCUGUAUUUUAAGUUUAUAACCGUAUGCCCUGAUGUUUAGUUUAUUUUUAAAGAAAAAUGCAACUUUUCAAGUGCUCUGGCCACAAACUGUAAGAAGAGUGGUUGGAGUCUAUGACUGGCUUUAGCAAGAUGAGAAUUCUGAAAAUGCUAAAUUCACUGAAGAACUCAUUUUAAAGAUAUUUUAAAGAACAAACCUAAAGUUAAAGGAAGAGAUGAAGUCAGAAAAGAAGACAGGUUUUUGGGACAGUUUGGUGAUAAAGCAGAAUGUCCAAUCUAGGAAACCAGAUGAGAUUGAGGGAUGGGAACCACCACAGAUUACUGCUGCUGACUCUGCCAG